GCUGGGUGUGGUGGCACACGCCUAUAGUCCCAGCUACUGAGAGGCUGAGACAGGAGGAUCACUUGAGCCCAGGAGUUUGAGGCUAUAGUGAGCUAUGAUCACACCACUGUACUCCAGCCUGGGCAACAGAGCAAGACCCUGUCUCUA
ensembl:misc_RNA Metazoa_SRP Metazoan signal recognition particle RNA